GACGAACGCUGGCGGCGUGCUUAACACAUGCAAGUCGAACGGAAAGGCCCUGCUUUUGUGGGGUGCUCGAGUGGCGAACGCGUGAGUAACACGUGAGUAACCUGCCCUUGACUUUGUGAUAACUUCAGGAAACUGGGGCUCAUACCGGAUAGGAGCUCCUGCUGCAUGGUGGGGGUUGGAAAGUUUCGGCGGUUGGGGAUGGACUCGAGGCUUAUCAGCUUGUUGGUGGGGUAGUGGCUUACCAAGGCUUUGACGGGUAGCCGGCCUGAGAGGGUGACCGGCCACAUUGGGACUGAGAUAGGGCCCAGACGCCUACGGGAGGCAGCAGGGGGGAAUAUGGCACAAUGGGCGGAAGCCUGAUGCAGCAACGCCGCGUGCGGGAUGACGGCCUUCGGGUUGUAAACCGCUUUCGCCUGUGACGAAGCGGGAGUGACGGUAAUGGGUAAAGAAGCAACGGCUAACUACGUG
rnacentral:rRNA from 1 species